AAAGGUCAAAGUAGAAACUUUAGGACUUGCCCUUGAUGCAGCGUAUGAGGGCCAGCGCAGUGGGGCUAGGAGGGCACACUAUGAGAUAGGAGAGCCUAGUCGAUCCGUUCGACGUAGAGUCCUGCAGUAGUUGCUUCCCUAGGAGCCUGUGCAGGUGACCUGGCAGGGCCACCAGUGGUGAUGAUGUGAUGGCCCAGUUGUAAAUAGAUG
rnacentral:lncRNA from 1 species